AUUGAACGCUGGCGGAAUGCUUUACACAUGCAAGUCGAACGGCAGCACGGACUUCGGUCUGGUGGCGAGUGGCGAACGGGUGAGUAAUGUAUCGGAACGUGCCCAGUCGUGGGGGAUAACGUGGUGAAAAUUACGCUAAUACCGCAUACGAUCUAUGGACGAAAGCGGGGGAUCGCAAGACCUCGCGCGAUUGGAGCGGCCGAUAUCAGAUUAGGUAGUUGGUGGGGUAAAGGCCCACCAAGCCAACGAUCUGUAGCUGGUCUGAGAGGACGACCAGCCACACUGGAACUGAGACACGGUCCAGACUCCUACGGGAGGCAGCAGUGGGGAAUUUUGGACAAUGGGCGAAAGCCUGAUCCAGCCAUUCCGCGUGCAGGAUGGAGGCCCUCGGGUUGUAAACUGCUUUUGUACAGAACGAAAAGGUUUCUACUAAUACUAGGAGCUCAUGACGGUACUGUAAGAAUAAGCACCGGCUAACUACGUGCCAGCAGCCGCCGUAA
rnacentral:rRNA from 1 species